AUGGGCCGCGCAGCCGCCGUCUCCGAGGAGGACGCUGGCGGCGUGAUCACCCCGUACACGCGGCGGAUGUACGUUGCCAGGCCGUGCCGGCAGCACGGGCACGUCGUCGCCCUGCAGAACCACUGUAGGAUGCAGCUUUCGUGGAAGGAGUGCAAGCAGCCGGGCAAUCUCUUGACGGAUCCACGGUUGUUGGCCACCAGCUCCUCCAUGCAGAUCGGGCACUGCUCCACGGCCGCGUCGUCGCCGCCGUCGUCAGGAGCUUGCGCCUGUGCCAUCUGGGGGCCCUGGUACGACGGUGUCGUCGGCGACGAUGUCUUCGGCGUUCCUCUCGUCUUCCUUGUUCCCGUAGCCGCCGUCGCUUGUGACGAUGGGCUUGUGAAGAAAACUGUCAUCUUUUGA
rnacentral:rRNA from 1 species